rnacentral:misc_RNA from 1 species
CACAAUAACAUAUGAAGGCUGCACCGCCAACAGGCGGCAAGGCUGGAGUAUUUUAUUACCCUUGUCUUUUGGCGCACUUGUUGUUUCCUGGGCGGGUUCGCCCGCCUCCAGGACCACAUGAUAAACCUUUUUUAUGCAGUUGCAAUCAGCGUCAGUACACAAAUGUAAAUCAUUUA